GGUCUGGUGGUGUAAUGGUAACACACCUGCUUUACAUGGGCCAAAGUUCUCGAAAGUUUGGUGGGGGUUCCUUGUUCGACUCAAGGUCAGGCCA